rnacentral:lncRNA from 1 species
UAGAGAGAGGGCAGCCAGCAAAAAUAAAGAGAUAAAAUAAGUGAUUUAUCCACAAGUGUGUGUGCAGGCAUUCCAGAGAGAGAGAGAGUGAAAGAGAGAGAGAGGGAGAUGGCAUUCAAGGAUGAUAGAUGACUAAAAUCAAUAGAGAGAGAGUGAGAGUGAGAGUGAGAGAGAGAGGGAGAUGGCAUUCAAGGAUAAUAGAUGACUAAAAUCAAUAGUAUCACAUUAGAAAGAAACCAUGAAUAAUAGAUGACUAAAAUCAACAGUAUCACAUUAGAAAGAAACCAUAUACAUGGAUAAAACAGUGUAUCCCACAAGAACAAACACAUACAUUUGUGACAUGAUAAACGGUCAGGUCCGUCAGCAAGCAUGUGUGUGAGAUUGCAAGAGAGAGAGAGAAAGAGGGAGGGGUUACCUGCAGUAGGCUUCUUGGGUUUGACUCGAGGUGUCUCCUCAACCAAAAGAGUCUCGAGGUUUAGACUAUCAGGGAGGAUAUAGUAUCGUAUGUUGUUGCCCCUCACACUAAGGUGAUCAAGGGUCACCGGAU